rnacentral:misc_RNA from 1 species
GAUGAAGAACGUAGUGAAAUGCGAUACGUUAUGUGAAUUGCAGAAUUCAGUGAAUCAUCGAAUCUUUGAACGCAUAUUGCGCUCUCUGGUAUUCCGGAGAGCAUGCUUGUUUGAGUAUCAGUAAACACCUCAACUUCCAUAUCUUUUUUGAAAUGGGAGUUGGACUUGAGUGAUCCCAACGCUUUUCCUCACCGAAAAGUGGCGGGUUACUUGAAAUGCAGGUGCAGCUGGACUUUUCUCUGAGCUAUAAGCAUAUCUAUUUAGUCUGCCUAAAAAACAGAUUAUUACCUUUGCUGCAGCUAACAUAAAGGAGAUUAGUUCUUGUGCUGACUGAUGCAGGAUUCACAAAGACAGGCUUCGGCCGACUUUGUAAACUCGAUCUCAAAUCAAGUAAGACUACCCGCUGAACUUAAGCAUAUCAAUAAGCGGAGGA